rnacentral:rRNA from 1 species
GAUGCAGUCGAGCGGAUGACGGGAGCUUGCUCCUUGAUUCCGGCGGACGGGUGAGUAAUGCCUAGGAAUCUGCCUGGUAGUGGGGGACAACGUUUCGAAAGGAACGCUAAUACCGCAUACGUCCUACGGGAGAAAGCAGGGGACCUUCGGGCCUUGCGCUAUCAGAUGAGCCUAGGUCGGAUUAGCUAGUUGGUGGGGUAAUGGCUCACCAAGGCGACGAUCCGUAACUGGUCUGAGAGGAUGAUCAGUCACACUGGAACUGAGACACGGUCCAGACUCCUACGGGAGGCAGCAGUGGGGAAUAUUGGACAAUGGGCGAAAGCCUGAUCCAGCCAUGCCGCGUGUGUGAAGAAGGUCUUCGGAUUGUAAAGCACUUUAAGUUGGGAGGAAGGGCAGUAAGUAAUACCUUGCUGUUUUGACGUUACCGACAGAAUAAGCACCGGCUAACUCUGUGCCAGCAGCCGCGGUAAUACAGAGGGUGCAAGCGUUAAUCGGAAUUACUGGGCGUAAAGCGCGCGUAGGUGGUUCGUUAAGUUGGAUGUGAAAGCCCCGGGCUCAACCUGGGAACUGCAUCCAAAACUGGCGAGCUAGAGUACGGUAGAGGGUGGUGGAAUUUCCUGUGUAGCGGUGAAAUGCGUAGAUAUAGGAAGGAACACCAGUGGCGAAGCGACACCUGGACUGAUACUGACACUGAGGUGCGAAAGCGUGGGGAGCAAACAGGAUAGAUACCCUGGUAGUCCACGCCGUAAACGAUGUCAACUAGCCGUUGGAAUCCUUGAGAUUUUAGUGGCGCAGCUAGCAUUAAGUUGACCGCCUGGGGAGUAGGCCGCAGGUUAAACUCAAAUGAAUUGAGGGGCCCGCACAAGCGGUGGAGCGUGGUUUAUUCGAAGCACGCAAAUACCGUUGCUGCAAGAACUUUCAGAUGGCCUUUCUGACCUCAGGUCCAGCUGCGAGUGGAACACGCUCCUCGCAAGGGCAUUGGAUUAGGUUCUA